AGUGGUGUGUGUAAUGACGCCGCAUACGUGAUGCUCUUGUAGUGGAGGUUGCACGACUUUUAAAGCGACUGGGAUGCAACUUUUUCAAGUGACGCCGGGUCUCGGGGUCCCGGUCCCCGAGUUGUGUAAUUCAGGAGGAAUCUUUCUACCCUGUUAACACGAUUACCCGAUUGUCAACCCGAAGGUAUAUAUACUUACACGCCCACUGAAACGUCCAUCAGUCCUUUGCCGGCCCUAGACAAUCGCCAGCCCGGUCCCCAGUGCGGAUGUGUUGAAAAGUUUCGCGGUUUUCGCAUCAGUUCAGGACCUCGAGUAUGAGGCAUAAGGCUCUUUGUGGCUUGAUACUCGCAAGCAUAGUGGCAUGUAACCUAACACAAGCACAGAGGCCCGCCUCCUCUUAUUUACCUCCAGGGGGAGGGGGAGGCGGUGGAGGUGGCGCACCACGACCUGGACCCUCUUACGGUCCGCCUGGAGGAGGUGGCGGCGCUAAACCAUCGACUUCGUUCAAACCGCCUCCGCCAGGAGGCCCGAAACCCCCCAGUUUUGGUGGAGGCGGCCCGCCAGGAGGUGGGGUGGAGGAGGUGGCGGAGGCGGCGGUGGUGAAGAAGGAGGAAAACCUGAGCCAUACAGUUUCGAGUACGAAGUGAAGGACGCAGCAACAGGGACAGAGUUCUCACGGAAGGAAGAAUCGGAUGGUACGAAGGUGAUGGGCGAAUACAAAGUUCUGCUGCCCGAUAGCCGGACUCAGAUCGUCACGUACAUGGCGGAUGAGAACGGCUACAUGGCUGACGUCAAAUACGAAGGGGAGGCCAUUCCCGGACCACCCGGUCCAGCGGGAGGGGGUGGUGGCGGACCCCCUGGGGGUGGUGGAGCCCCACCCGGAACUGGAGGAUACCCUGCGGGCGGAGGCCCAGAGGCUGGAUAUCCAUCAGGAGGCCCAGGAUUCGGUCCACAAGGAACUGGCUAUCGAAGAUAGGAUCAUCAUUAGGGUAAAAUUUUCGUUGCAAAUCAUUACAAUCACCAUUGGCGUUGUAAUAUCUUUCAUCUUUUGUAAAUCUUGUGAAUACCAAAGCUCGAGGACAAUGUGGUCGAAUAACAACAAUAUAAAACACUCCCAAAAU
rnacentral:lncRNA from 1 species